UUACGUACUGUGGUGUGAUGUCUCAGGGCAGGAGGAACUUAUUUGGUGCACUUUAAGUUACGAAUCUUUGUACAAGCAGGACAGAGCCAGGAGGAACAAACAUGUUUCACUUGCUGGGAAUCGUUGGUGGCCUUCUUUUCAUCAUAAUGUGCUUUUCAAAAGGACUUAAAGAGGGAAAUAAAACUAGAAAAUCACAGCUGCUUGAGUCCGCUGCCAACAACAAGAUGAAGGAUCUGAGUGAAGAGGAUGUGCAUUUACUGGCCAGGAUCCUCUCAGUUGGAUUGGUGGAUGCAGAUCCGAACUACCUCCACCAUCUUAAAGGCUACAGAGACUUGCGUGGUGGUUGAUCUCCACUACAACAACAAAAAAGAAAAAUCAGCCCUGUUACAGUAACUAGUGGACAUAGAAGCACAGCUGUUCUUGGAGAUCUCAAUGGACUUGUGACGACACCAAAUCAAGGCUGUUCGGCAUUAUGUUUUGGAUUAACAGAAGUCAAGCUACUCUUACAACCCCUCCAGAUGUUCCAUGAAAAAUUCAAAAUAUGCACUUUAUUGUGGUCAAUAAUGACAUUGGUUAUGAAUUAGGAAUAAUCUCUCCUUUGUAUAGAGGGGAACUCAAUUGCACUUAAUGUGAAAAUGAUAAUAUUGAUGGUGGAUCCUGUCAGCUUCACAAACUAUAAUUUAAAAGCUGCAAAUAUGUGGAAGGAAGAGCAUCUGUCAGGUUCUACUCUGCAUAUUCUUUUUAAAUCGGCUUUAAAAAACGGCAUAAAAUAUAAAUAUAGUCACAGGAGGAUUUCUGCUGUUGUGAGUGACACUUGCUUUAGGCCUGCUUUGAUGUUUAAAUUGCAUUAUUCAGGCGUUUUGCAAUGUUAAAUACCGCUUUGUUGAGCUCUAAAUUUGAACUGUAAUAUUUGCAUCAGAGCAGAAAGUAAUAAUCCUCUUUAAAUUGAGACAAUGUGACUUUUUCUACUGUGGCUACAUUAGUGGAACAAUGCAACUUAAGCGAUAAACUACUGCUUAGCCUUUAGUUAAAGGCCUUUAGCUAAGCAGUAGUAGAAGUGGAGAAGAAUCAUGUAGCCAGUGAAGUAAAUCAAUAAUGUGUAAUAUACAUCAUUUUAUUGUUAAGAUUUGCAAACAUUAGCCACCUUAUGGUGCUGGUUAUACUGGACCAACAAAGGUUGUUGCAGGCAAAAUGCCACAGUGUAAUGGACUGAACAAUGGUGCGUUGUAUUGCUCAUACAUUCCACUUUUUAUUUUUAAGAGGGAAAACGUGAUAUUUCUUCUCUCAAAAGAGUCUUUUGUCUUGUCUGGAUCACUGUACUUGACCAUUUUCAUUUGAGAGUCACUGUUUGUUUGCUGUCGUUUUGUUCAUGUCCUUACCUAGAAUAAAGGAGGCAGCAGAAGAAAAGAGAAACAGACAGAGAGAGAGAGAGAGAGAGAGAGAGAGAGAGAGAGAGAGAGAGAGAUUAGAGGCAAGUUGACUUGAAUUCAGUUGUUUGUCUCCUGUGGUAUAUGUUUGUUAAAGUCAUUUACUCCACACAUGGCUGUUGAGCGUGUCCCCCAGCAGGUAGAACAAGGUCACCGCAGACAUGUUAAAAAAGAAGAAGCCCGCCAGACCAGCGGUGCUGAAGUGGCCCAGGAGAGGAUACACCCAAAUCCCAACUGACAAGAACACCCAUAUAAUCCUGCAGAACAUGUUUAAAGAGAGAGAGAGGGAGAGAGAGAGAAAGAAAGAAAGAAAGAAAGAAAGAGGGGAAAAACAAUUCUCAGCACCACUGUAUCUGUCAGAUCAUCUUGUACUGUCUUGUCUAAAAGAUCUAGUAUGUCUCAUGCAAAUAUUCACUGGCACACAGUUUCCACCCAUUGGCACUGAUGACACUGAUUAUUUUAACCCAAAAACACUUAGCAUAAUAAAGAAAUCUCAUCCCUAA